GACGUAGGGUGCGAGCGUUGUCCGGAUUUAUUGGGCGUAAAGAGCUCGUAGGCGGUUUGGCAAGUCAGGUGUGAAAUCUCCGGGCUCAACUCGGAGAGGCCACCUGAUACUGCUAUGACUAGAGUCCGGUAGGGGACCAUGGAAUUCCUGGUGUAGCGGUGAAAUGCGCAGAUAUCAGGAGGAACACCAAUGGCGAAGGCAGCUCGCUGGGACGGUACUGACGCUGAGACGCGAAAGCGUGGGGAGCAAACAGG
rnacentral:rRNA from 1 species